rnacentral:rRNA from 1 species
UACUCGAGUGGCGAACGGGUGAGUAACACGUGGGUGAUCUGCCCUGCACUCUGGGAUAAGCCUGGGAAACUGGGUCUAAUACCGGAUAGGACCGCACUUUAGUGUGUGUGGUGGAAAGUUUUUUCGGUGUAGGAUGAGCCCGCGGCCUAUCAGCUUGUUGGUGAGGUAAUGGCCUACCAAGGCGGCGACGGGUAGCCGGACUGAGAGGUUGGUCGGCCACAUUGGGACUGAGAUACGGCCCAG